rnacentral:rRNA from 1 species
GACGAACGCUGGCGGCGUGCUUAACACAUGCAAGUCGAACGGAAAGGCCCCUUUGGGGGUACUCGAGUGGCGAACGGGUGAGUAACACGUGAGUAACCUGCCCUUGACUUCGGGAUAACUUCAGGAAACUGGGGCUAAUACCGGAUAGGAAUCCUUGCUGCAUGGUGGGGGUUGGAAAGCUUCGGCGGUUUUGGAUGGACUCGCGGCUUAUCAGCUUGUUGGUGGGGUAGUGGCUUACCAAGGCUUUGACGGGUAGCCGGCCUGAGAGGGCGACCGGCCACAUUGGGACUGAGAUACGGCCCAGACUCCUACGGGAGGCAGCAGUGGGGAAUAUUGCACAAUGGGCGGAAGCCUGAUGCAGCAACGCCGCGUGCGGGAUGACGGCCUUCGGGUAAACCGCUUUCAGCAGGGGCGAAGCUUGUGGUGACGGUACCUGCAGAAGAAGCACCGGCUAACUACGUG